rnacentral:rRNA from 1 species
UAAUACGUAGGGGGCAAGCGUUGCUCGGAAUUACUGGGCGUAAAGGGUCCGUAGGCGGUGGGGCAUGUCGGUUGUGAAAUCUCCCGGCUUAACUGGGAGGGUGCGACCGAAACUGCUCCACUGGAGGGCCGGAGAGGCGAGUGGAAUUGCUGGUGUAGCGGUGAAAUGCGUAGAGAUCAGCAGGAACACCGGAGGCGAAGGCGGCUCGCUGGACGGCACCUGACGCUGAGGGACGAAAGCUAGGGGAGCAAACAGGAUUAGAUACCCUGGUAGUCCUAGCCCUAAACGAUGGUCACUUGCUGUGCCGGACGUACGUUCGGCGUGGCGGAGCUAACGCGUUAAGUGACCCGCCUGGGGAGUACGGUCGCAAGGCUG